GCGUUUGAAACUGUAUAUCUUGAGAGCAGCAGAGGAAGGCGGAAUUCCUGGUGUAGUGGUGAAAUACGUAGAUAUCAGGAAGAACACCAGUGGCGAAGGCGGUCUUCUGGGCUGCAUCUGACGCUCAUGUACGAAAGCUGGGGUAGCGAACGGGAUUAGAUACCCCGGUAGUCCCAGCUGUAAACGAUGGACACUAGGUGUUGGAGGUUCGAAUCCUUCAGUGCCGGAGUUAACGCAUUAAGUGUCCCGCCUGGGGAAUACGGUCGCAAGACUGAAACUCAAAGGAAUUGACGGGGGCCCGCACAAGCGGUGGAGCAUGUGGUUUAAUUCGAUGCAACGCGAAGAACCUUACCGAGAAUUGACAUCCCGUGACUACCUGUGAGAGCAGG
rnacentral:rRNA from 1 species